AGAGGGUGCGAGCGUUAAUCGGAGUUACUGGGCGUAAAGGGCGCGUAGGCGGUAAUAUGUGAGUGAUGUGAAAGCCCCGGGCUUAACCUGGGAAGAGCAUUGCUAACUAUAUAACUGGAGUAUAUGAGAGGGUGGCGGAAUUUCCGGUGUAGCGGUGAAAUGCGUAGAGAUCGGAAGGAACGUCGAUGGCGAAGGCAGCCACCUGGCAUAAUACUGACGCUGAGGCGCGAAAGCGUGGGUAGCGAACAGGAUUAGAUACCCUGGUAGUCCACGCUGUAAACGAUGAGAACUAGAUGUUGGUUGGGGAACCAAUCGGUAUCGAAGCUAACGCGAUAAGUUCUCCGCCUGGGAAGUACGGCCGCAAGGUUG
rnacentral:rRNA from 1 species